rnacentral:rRNA from 1 species
CGACCGCUGUGGGAGUCCGAUUAAGCCAUGCGAGUCGAGAGAAUAAGAUUCUCGGCAUACCGCUCAGUAACACGUGGAUAACUGCCCUGUGCUGGGGGAUAACCUCGCGAAAGUGAGAACAAUACCCCAUGGGUCACUAUGCCUGGAACGGUUAGUGGCUGAAAGCUCCGGCGGCACAGGAUGGGUCUGCGGCGUAUCAGGUCGUAGGGGGUGUAACGUACCUCCUAGCCUUCGACGCGUACGGGUUGUGAGAGCAAUUGCCCGGAGAUGGAUUCUGAGACACGAAUCCAGGCCCUACGGGGCGCAGCAGGCGCGAAAACUUGACAAUGCGAGAAAUCGUGAUCAGGGGACUCCAGUUGGCUGGAUCAAAAGUCCAGUCUGAACCGACUUUAAAUCGGUCGGGUAAUAGGGGCGGGAAAGACCGGUGCCAGCCGCCGCGGUAAUACCGGCGCCCCAAGUGGUCGUCACUAUUAUUGGGCCUAAAACGUCCGUAGCCGGUUUGGUAAAUCCGUGGGUAAAUCAGACAGCCCAACUGUCUGAAUUCUGCGGGGACUGCCAGACUUGAGACCGGGAGAGGUGCGGGGUACCUGCGGGGUACCGGUAAAAUGGGAUCAUCCCGUAGAGACCACCUGUUGCGAAGGCGCCGCACUAGAACGGAUCUGACGGUCAGGGACGAAGCCUAGGGGCACGAACCGGAUUAGAUACCCGGGUAGUCCUAGGUGUAAACGCUGUGGACUUGGUGUCGGGGACCUUCUGAGGGUUUCCGGUGCCGGAGUGAAGAUGUUAAGUCCACUGCCUGGGGAGUACGUCGCAAGCUGAAACUU